CCUACGGGGGGCUGCAGUAGGGAAUAUUGGACAAUGGGCGCAAGCCUGAUCCAGCCAUGCCGCGUGAGUGAUGAAGGCCUUAGGGUUGUAAAGCUCUUUCGUCGGGGACGAUAAUGACGGUACCCGCAGAAGAAGCCCCGGCUAACUUCGUGCCAGCAGCCGCGGUACUACGAAGGGGGCUAGCGUUGUUCGGAAUCACUGGGCGUAAAGCGCAUGCAGGCGGAUCGUUAAGUCGGGGGUGAAAGCCCGAGGCUCAACCUAGGAACUGCCUUCGAUACUGGCGAGCUUGAGUCCGGGAGAGGUGAGUGGAACUGCGAGUGUAGAGGUGAAAUGCGUAGAUAGUCGCAAGAACACCAGUGGCGAAGGCGGCUCACUGGACCGGUACUGACGCUGAGAUGCGAAAGCGUGGGGAGCAAACAGGAUUAGAUACCCCAGUAGUC
rnacentral:rRNA from 1 species